rnacentral:rRNA from 1 species
ACUUUUUUCUCCUCCUAAAAACCAGAGCAGUAUAACUAAAAAUCUAAACUUAAAGAACUUGGCGGUUUUCUAAACCUUCUUGGAGGAGCUUGUUAUCCAAUUGAUAACCCACAAGAUACCUUACCAGUUUUAGACAACAGCCUGUAUACCAUCGUCGCCAGCUUUCCUUAAAGAUUGAAAGCAUAAAGAAAACUCACCCAAACGUCAGAUCAAGGUGCAGCCAAUAAACUGGGGAUCAAUGAGCUACCUUACUCCCAAAUCAGAGGAUUUAUAACUGAAAAAGAUAAUGAAAAAGGAUUCAACAGUAAUUUUAUAAAGAAAUAUUAUAAUGAAACAAGCUCUAGAAUGCGUACACACCGCCCGUCACCCUCCUC